rnacentral:rRNA from 1 species
GAUGAACGCUGGCGGCGUGCCUAAUACAUGCAAGUCGAGCGAACGGACGAGAAGCUUGCUUUUCUGAUGUUAGCGGCGGACGGGUGAGUAACACGUGGAUAACCUACCUAUAAGACUGGGAUAACUUCGGGAAACCGGAGCUAAUACCGGAUAAUAUUUUGAACCGCAUGGUUCAAAAGUGAAAGACGGUCUUGCUGUCACUUAUAGAUGGAUCCGCGCUGCAUUAGCUAGUUGGUAAGGUAACGGCUUACCAAGGCAACGAUGCAUAGCCGACCUGAGAGGGUGAUCGGCCACACUGGAACUGUGACACGGUCCAGACUCCUACGGGAGGCAGCAGUAGGGAAUCUUCCGCAAUGGGCGAAAGCCUGACGGAGCAACGCCGCGUGAGUGAUGAAGGUCUUCGGAUCGUAAAACUCUGUUAUUAGGGAAGAACAUAUGUGUAAGUAACUGUGCACAUCUUGACGGUACCUAAUCAGAAAGCCACGGCUAACUACGUG